GCAAGUCGAACGAGAAAGUCUCUUCGGAGGCGAGUAGAGUGGCGCACGGGUGAGUAACACGUAGGUGACCUACCUUACAGUUGGGGAUAACAGGGAGAAGUUCCUGCUAAUACCGAAUUCGCAAAACAAUUUUGGAAGUAGUUUUGGAAAGAUGGCCUCUAUACUAUGCUAUCGCUGUAAGAAGGGCCUGCGGGUCAUUAGCUUGUUGGUGGGGUAAUGGCCUACCAAGGCAGUGAUGACUAGCUGGUCUGAGAGGAUGAUC
rnacentral:rRNA from 1 species